rnacentral:rRNA from 1 species
UCCGUGCGAAGGUACGCAUAAAUCAUUAGUUCUUUAAUUGUGAUCUGGUAUGAAUGGCUUGACGAGACAUGGGCUGUCUUAGGGGUAUUAUUUAUUGAAUUUAGUUUUUGAGUUAAAAUUCUUAGAUGUUUUUAUGGGACGAGAAGACCCUAUAGAGUUUGACAUUUUUCUUUUUAUAAUUUAUUGUUUGUUUUUUUUCUUAAUUGGUUUAGUGUUUUGUUGGGGUGAUGGGAGGAAUUUUUUUAACUCCUCUUUAUUUUUUUAUAUUUAUUUAUAGUUUUUUGAAUCCCAUUUAUUUGUGAUUAUAAGAUUAAAUUACCUUAGGGAUAA